rnacentral:tRNA from 1 species
AAUGAGGUGCCUGAUUAAAGGAUUAUCUUGAUAGGAUAAAUAAAGUAAUUUAAAAUUACCCUUAUUU